GACGAACGCUGGCGGCGUGCCUAAUACAUGCAAGUUGAGCGAUGAAGAUUGGUGCUUGCACCAAUUUGAAGAGCAGCGAACGGGUGAGUAACGCGUGGGGAAUCUGCCUUUGAGCGGGGGACAACAUUUGGAAACGAAUGCUAAUACCGCAUAACAACUUUAAACAUAAGUUUUAAGUUUGAAAGAUGCAAUUGCAUCACUCAAAGAUGAUCCCGCGUUGUAUUAGCUAGUUGGUGAGGUAAGGGCUCACCAAGGCGAUGAUACAUAGCCGACCUGAGAGGGUGAUCGGCCACAUUGGGACUGAGACACGGCCCAAACUCCUACGGGAGGCAGCAGUAGGGAAUCUUCGGCAAGAGACGAAAGUCUGACCGAGCAACGCCGCGUGAGUGAAGAAGGUUUUCGGAUCGUAAAACUCUGUUGGUAGAGAAGAACGUUGGUGAGAGUGGAAAGCUCAUCAAGUGACGGUAACUACCCAGAAAGGGACGGCUAACUACGUG
rnacentral:rRNA from 1 species